GAAGGAUGAGCAAUACGUGUUACAUACUCUAUAUUGCUUUAUUUACAGUUCAAAGCUGGUAUAUUACAGAAAGACAUCUUGCCUCUGCAAGAGCAGAAAAAUGCAUCCUCUCUCCUCAACAGCUCGGAGAGAAUCACACAGUGAAAAACAGGAAACCAGUGUACGUCACAUCCAGUCUCCCUUUCCCGUGAGAAACUCCAACAGUACAGACUGUGGAAUGUAAACACCUGUCUUGUGACUGCAGUUGCUGCACAGUGAAGGAAAGCAGAAACCAACAUCCUCCCCUUUCUGUGAACAUCACUGGGCAGCGUGUUUGUACAAUAUCAGUACAAACCCAACUUCUGCACAUAGGUACAGUGUUGAUCCCUUGAUACAAUCUUGGACAAUACAUCAGCAGGAAUUUCAUUACCUGGCAUAUAGGACACCGUUACGAGUCCCUUCUGAAUACAUUCCCUAGCAUGCUGCAACUUUAAUUGCAAGUGCUUUGUGCUUUGCUUACAACCUUCAGACUUCAGCAAAGCCAAACAUGCUUUGUUGUCCUGGUAAACCUGGAUUGGACAUUUGACAGGAAUUUUCAUAUCUUUGCACAAUUGUACUAACCAUUCACAAUCCUUAAGUGAAUAAGACAGUGCAUUCAGUUCGGCUUCACAAGUACUUAAGCUAACUGUUGUUUGCUUCUUGCAUGACCAAUCAAACAGACUCUGAUUGUACAUGUAGCAAACUCCAGACGUACUUUUCCUGUCUGUAGCGUCACUUCCAAAACUUGCAUCUGCAAAUAUCUCAAGACCACUAGACUUCUGAUUGUUAAAUCUCAGUCUGUAAUGCAUAGUGCCUUUCAAAUACCGCGCUAUGCGUUUCAGAGCUUUCCAAUCCUUGACACUAGGAUUGUUGACUUGUCUGCUUAGCAAAUUACAGCUAACAGCAAUGUCUGGUCUUGAACAUCUGGCAAUGAAGUUUAGCUUGCCUAGCACACUCCUGUACAGUGUAGUGUCAGAAAAUGCUUCUUCAGUGUCAUCUACCUGAUAACCUGUUGUCAUCGGUGUGUCUACAGGGUUAGCAUCCAUCAGAUUUAGUUUGCUUAACACAUCAGCAAUUUUCCGUGACUGGUGUACUAGAAUGUUACCAUCUUGAUCUCUCUCUAUUUCCAGAGAUAGGUAGUUGUUUACCUCACCAAGAUCUUUCAUGUCAAAGUGCUCUUUCAGUUGAGCUAGGGCGCUAUUGUACAUUGCAACAUCUUUCCAAAAGAAUAAUAAAUCAUCAACAUAAAACAAACAGUACAGUUUCUUUUGCCCCUCCUCUUUGACAAAUACACAUGGAUCAGCUUUCCCUUGCUGAAAACCUAGAGAAAACAAUACUUCAGUGAGUUUUGUGUGCCAACACCGUGCACUUUGUUUGAGACCAUAAAGGGAUUUCUUCAGAGCACAAACAAAUCCCUGUUUUACCUGUACGCCAUCAGGUGGAAGCAUAUAAAGUGAUUCAUCUAGAGAUCCGUACAGAAAAGCUGUAUUAAUAUCAUGGUGACUAAUGUGUAGAUUUUCCUCUGCAGCUAGCUUAAGCAUAAGCCUAAUGCUUUCAUAUCUCACUGUGGGUGAAUAGGUCUCGUGAUAGUCUUCACCUGGUACCUGUGCAAAACCUCUGGCUACCAAUCUGGCUUUGUGUCUGACUAUCUUGCCAUUUUGAUCUGUCUUCGCUUUGAAGACCCAUUUGCUUCCAAGCAGUUUCAUUCCUGGAACUACUGGAACUAGCUCCCAUGUUUUGUUCCUUUCUAAGGAAUCAAGCUCAGCCUUCAUGGCAUUUAACCAUGGCUCAGCUUCCUUUGAAUCCAAACCCUGGAUUUCUUGGAAACUUGAAGGUUCAAAUACCUUCUUGGAGCUUUUAACAGCUGUUACUGCUAUCUUAGCAAACUCAUCAGCAAAUCUCUUUGGAGGUUUGCCUUUUGUGGCUCUCUGUGACCUACGAAUUAGCCUUAAGUCUUCAACACUCUCCUCUUCCUUCUUAGGAGAAAAACGACCUAUUGUGAACAAUGGUUCCUCCAAUUCUUGAUCAGAGCUUUCAGAGGGUCGCAUAGAGGCUUUCGCACUCUUGAAAUCCUCUGAAUCACCCGAUUCAGUUUCAGAUUCAGACUCAGAACCUUCAUCAGUGGGUGUGGGUUGUUGUGGUUGCUUUGACUAUCCUCAGUCUCAUCACCGUCAUCAGGAUAACAUUGGAAAAUUCCCACAUUCUCCCCCACUUUGCAUUGUACUCAACACUUCUCGUGAGCUUAAUUGUCUUAGAGUCAGUCAUCAUUAUUCUGUAAGACCCUUUCUGAUAACCUAGAAAGAUACCAUGCAAUCCACGCUUGUCUAACUUGGAGUUUUGUGGUGAGUGAACCCACAUGUCAGAACCAAAAAUCUUCAUGUGUUUGAUGUAUGGCUUCUUGCCAAACAUCUUCUCAUAGAGGUACAACCAAUCGCUGAAGAUAACCUGCGAUUGUAACUGUAAACAAAACACGAGAGAGAUUCGGCCCAAUAACUCUCUGGAAGAUUGGCAUCAUGCAGCAAGGUUUUUAACCCUUGAAGCAAAGUCUGAUUUGCCCGUUCCGCAAGUCCAUUCUGCCAUGGCGAGCGAGGACUAGACAAAUCGUGUUGAAUUCCUUUCUCAGUCAGAAAAGCUUCAAACUGCUGAGAAGUGAAUUCCCCGCGAUCACUGAAAAGAGUCUUUAUCUUCUUACCAUGCACAUUUUCCAACCAAGCACAGAAUUCCUUGAACCUAGGAAAAGCCUCCGAUUUCUGCUUGAGAUUGUACACAAAAAUAUAUCUAGAAAAUGCAUCAAUGAGAACCAUGAAGUAUCUAUUUCCACCCAAAGAGGGCGCUAGUGGUCCAACCAAAUCAGCAUGAACAACCUGGUAUGGUUCUGUAGCUGUCCUACUAGACACCUUACCUUUCGCAGCCAUUUUCACCUUGUUUGCUGCGCAUGCUUUGCACUUCAUGUGGUACCUGCAGGGUUUAAUAGUCAUACCUUCAACCAAGGCAGGCAUUUUAGAUACUGCCUCAAAAUGCAAAUGACCAAAUUUUCGAUGAAAAUCGUGAAUACAUUCUGCAUGCAAACUUUUGUUAGAACCUGCAAUGCAACAAGUGUCAUCCUGCACCACAUCAUCAUAAUACAAAACAAACAAAUGAUCAACAUAUUCUGCAUGCAAUACAUAAUCAUUUUUCUUUGUGAUGAUGCACUUCUUGUUCUUGAAGGAAACGUCAAUGUUCCGCUCAUUCAGCUGUCCAACGCUGAGCAGAUUAUGUUUGGCGUCUGGCACGUAAAGCACAUUCUGUAUCGAUAAGUCCAAACUGUGAAGAACAACAGUUCCGUAGCCUUUACUGGGAAUAGUGUGGUCAUCCGCCUGGUGAAUCGCACCUUCCUGCGGUGUAAAAGACACAAACAGUUUCUUAUCGUUGCACAUGUGGUGGGUGGCCGCUGAAUCAACAACGAAGAAAGAUCUAGACGUCUUCUGGACCUCUGCAACCUUUGGAGUGAAGCGUGAAACCAUAGCCUUGUGCUGCGUUGUCCUAGACACCGGACCUUUGCCUUUGCCUCGGCCUUUUCCGCGCGAUGAGCUUUCGCUGCGCUGCUCUGUCUUGGCCCUGGGAUGUCUGCAUUCCCUCUUCAUAUGGCCUAGACGUCCACACGAGUAGCAUUCCACUGCCUUCAUAGCUUUGGCGCCAUCUGGUGGUUCCACUGCACUAUGGGAUGACGUCUGUGAAGACUCCCCCUUGCCCAUGCAGCUAGCACCCCGGCGAUCUGCUUCAUUUAAAAUCACGGCAGUAACAAAGUCCACUGUCAGCUGAGCAGUUGGUUGCACAGCAAUCUGGGUUGCAACAGACUCCCAACCUGAACCCAAAGAUUGUAGUAUCAUGAAAGAAUACACAGCCUCUGGAAAGUUGAGUCCUCUCUGUUGCAGCUCAUGUCUCAGAUUUUGCAUCUGCAUCAGAUGUAAACGCACAUCUCCACCUUCAGCAAGAGCCAUAUUAUGCAGCUUGUUAAAAUAAAACAUAGUGGAUCCAGCUUCUGUCCUUAAGUGAGCCUCUCUCAGAGCGUCCCAAAUUUCUCUGGCUGAGGUCUUAUCACGCAAUAGACAGAGCUCUUCUGGGGAUACUAUCAAUGUAAGAGUUCCCCUUGCUUUGGAAUCCUUAGCUUCCCAUGCAUCUGUAACUGGAACUGGGGGGGUUCCUGUAAUCACCUCAAACAAACCCUCUUUCCGCAGAAUUGCCUCUGCAUACUGAACCCAGUCGGCGUAAUUUUUCUUGUUGAGCUUAGGAAUCCCACAAGCAUCCUGAAGGGCCAUCAUGACUCUGGCAUUAGCCUUCAGCGUCAUAUGCUGCUUUAAAUCUUGCUGCGUCACUGCUGCAGCUGCCUCAUUACAAAGGCACACUUAAAAGUUACUUUCGAUUUCCCCAGCAUAGUGACUUGUGCCUGGGAGCCUUUUGCCUAUUCCCGGCAAAACCGGCUUUAAAAGUUCAAAGUCCAGCCAUAAAGCCAUUAACUUGAAGCUGGCAGGCUGCCCGGAGCAGUAGCACAUACCUCAUCAAUCACUUCUACGCGCAGAGCAGAUUCCUUUCCGAUCCGUCCCUCUGCAUUCCGAUCCUUUGCCGGCACUCCGAUUCGACCUCUGGAGUCCAUAACCACGUGUUGAUUUAAAGCAGAGUCUCUGGUGCCCAGCGGAAGGAUGAGCAAUACGUGCUACAUACUCUAUAUUGCUUUAUUUACAGUUCAAAGCUGGUAUAUUACAGAAAGACAUCUUGCCUCUGCAAGAGCAGAAAAAUGCAUCCUCUCUCCUCAACAGCUCGGAGAGAAUCACACAGUGAAAAACAGGAAACCAGUGUACGUCACAUCCAGUCUCCCUUUCCCGUGAGAAACUCCAACAGUACAGACUGUGGAAUGUAAACACCUGUCUUGUGACUGCAGUUGCUGCACAGUGAAGGAAAGCAGAAACCAACA